AAACUAGCAUAUCAAUAAGCGGAGGUACAAGAAACCAACCGGGAUUGCCCUAGUAACGGCGAGUGAAGCGGCAACAGCUCAAAUUUGAAAUCUGGCUCUUUUAGAGUCCGAGUUGUAAUUUGCAGAGGGCGCUUUGGCUUUGGCAGCGGUCCAAGUUCCUUGGAACAGGACGUCACAGAGGGUGAGAAUCCCGUACGUGGUCGCUGGCUAUUGCCGUGUAAAGCCCCUUCGACGAGUCGAGUUGUUUGGGAAUGCAGCUCUAAAUGGGAGGUACAUUUCUUCUAAAGCUAAAUAUUGGCCAGAGACCGAUAGCGCACAAGUAGAGUGAUCGAAAGAUGAAAAGCACUUUGGAAAGAGAGUCAAACAGCACGUGAAAUUGUUGAAAGGGAAGCGCUUGCAGCCAGACUUGCUUGCAGUUGCUCAUCCGGGCUUUUGCCCGGUGCACUCUUCUGCAGGCAGGCCAGCAUCAGUUUGGGCGGUAGGAUAAAGGUCUCUGUCACGUACCUCUCUUCGGGGAGGCCUUAUAGGGGAGACGACAUAYUACCAGCCUGGACUGAGGUCCGCGCAUCUGCUAGGAUGCUGGCGUAAUGGCUGUAAGCGGCCCGUCUUGAAACACGGACCAAGGAGUCUAACAUCUAUGCGAGUGUUUGGGUGUCAAGCCCGAGCGCGUAAUGAAAGUGAACGGAGGUAGGAACCCGCAAGGGUGCACUAUCGACCGAUCCUGAUGUCUUCGGAAGGAUUUGAGUAAGAGCAUGGCUGUUGGGACCCGAAAGAUGGUGAACUAUGCUUGAAUAGGGUGAAGCCAGAGGAAACUCUGGUGGAGGCUCGCAGCGGUUCUGACGUGCAAAUCGAUCGUCAAAUUUGGGCAUAGGGGCGAAAGACUAAUCGAACUAUCUAGUAGCUGGUUCCUGCCGAUUUUUCCCC
rnacentral:rRNA from 1 species